rnacentral:rRNA from 1 species
AGAGCGAACGCUGGCGGCAUGCUUAACACAUGCAAGUCUCACGGGCAGCAAUGUCAGUGGCGGACGGGUGAGUAACGCGUAGGUAUCUAUCCAUGGGUGGGGGAUAACGUCGGGAAACUGACGCUAAUACCGCAUGACAUCUGAGGAUCAAAGGCGCGAGUCGCCUGUGGAGGAGCCUGCGUACGAUUAGCUAGUUGGUGGGGUAAAGGCCUACCAAGGCGACGAUCGUUAGCUGGUCUGAGAGGAUGAUCAGCCACACUGGGACUGAGACACGGCCCAGACUCCUACGGGAGGCAGCAGUGGGGAAUAUUGGACAAUGGGCGAAAGCCUGAUCCAGCAAUGCCGCGUGUGUGAAGAAGGUCUUCGGAUUGUAAAGCACUUUCGGCGGGGACGAUGAUGACGGUACCGCAGAAGAAGCCCCGGCUAACUUCGUGCCAGCAGCCGCGGUAA